AAAAUUUUAAUAAUAAAUUUGAUGCAUAGACACAAUCAUGAGGUUAUGAAAAAGGAAAAAAAAAAAUUACACUCAAUAAAUAUUCCAGAAAUAGCUCAUAAAAAUUAAAUGAAUUUUUUCUAUGGGAUAUACUCAAACGUCAUUGUAAUUUAAUUAGAUUAGUGGUGCAUGCUAGUAUUAAUCAGAAGCAAAUCAAGCUCAGGAUAGAAGAAAGCAUAAGAAUUCGUUUGAGUGAUCCUACUAAUUAAUCCUCUAAACUCAAAACCAUCUUCAUUAUUAUUAUAAGUUUCAAAUUCAUUUCCUGCUAUUAUAUAUAAUAUAUAAAACAAAUAGUAAAAGAAACUGAGUGCUAAAAAUUGGAAAAUCAAAUAUAAUAUUGCUUAGCACUUAAUCUUCUCUUCAGCAGCAAUGGAGUUCUUGCAAUGAGCAAUUGCUGCUUGAAUUGCAGCCUGCAAUUCCUCCAUGGUACUAUCACUAGUAGGAGAAGGAAGGGCUGCAGUUGCUACAAGAAGACCACUGUUUGUUGGAGAUGUUCUCAUGGAAGCAGGUGCAGAGAACUCUCCUCUCUCUCCUCGCAACUCCUGCUUAUUUCUCAAGCUUAAAUUGCCUGAAAACGAGUAGGUUUGCCUGUGUAUACGGGGAUUCUGUUUCCUUCCUUUAAAGAACAAUAGUGGCCUAACCAUUCGUACGUACCUCUUUAGUAUAUGACUUACUUCGAAUCUCAGCUUUUUCUUUUGCUUCUCUUUGUCUUCUGAUUUUCUAACUUCACAACCUUUUCGCCAACUGAAUAAAGAGAAAGGCUUAGGCUUGCUUCUAGCUUUUGUCUCGCCAUUGCUGCUUUGAUGUUGAUUUGUUUUAUUACUGCUGCUAUUAUUGUUGUUCCUGAUGUUGCUGCUAUUUCCAUGGCUGGUGCUGGGAUUGUUGUUACUCCUGUUGGAUUUUUUAUCAUCUAGUAAUUCUCUGAUGGGAAGGGUAAAGCUGUCCAAGGAAUUGGUGGAAGAGCGAGGAGAGACAGGAAGGUGAGAGAGAAGAUGGAGAGGAAGCAAGUGGCCAUGGAAGAAAAUGUCAUCUGCUGGAGACAAAUCAAUAGCAAAUGAAGGAGGAGGGGCUUUGGCCUUAUCAGGGACUGGUGUUGAGGAAGAAUGGAGAGAGAUUGUGAAGGAGAAUUCAUGAGAAGGAGAGGAAGAAGCUGAAGGUGGUGAGGCAGGGGAAAUGGUGGGUAAUAGUUGCUUGGCUGCUGGUAAUUCUCCUUUUCCUUCUUGUUUUAACUUGCUAUCUUCAUGCUUGUCCACAAAUUUUUCCCUAGUGUCUCUAUGCUGUAUGGUCUCCAUAAUUCCCAGAAACUAUGCAAGAAAGACUAAUAAGAAGAUCUGAUUCUGUAUCAGCAACUUUCUUCUUAAAUUUUUGGGUCUACAUAUAGUUCCAAACCUUAGAAAAUGAGAGAGAUAAGGCCUAAAGGUAUCAAGAAUCAGCGAAAGAAAGAAAGAAAAG
rnacentral:misc_RNA from 1 species